rnacentral:rRNA from 1 species
AAGAGAAUUCAUGAAAUUGAAAUAAUAGUAAAGAUGCUAUUUAAUAUUGUAAGACGAAAAGACCCUAUAGAGCUUAACUACAGACUUUUUUUUAACCAAAGAAUAAAUUCUAAAUAAAAGAAAGUUAGGUAGUUUAGUUGGGGCGACUAUCUUCUAAAAAUAACGAAGACAAGCAAAUAUUAAUAAUUAAUUUAUUGUAUAAUUAAUAUAUUUAACAAUUACAAAAGUAGGCUAUAAUGACCCGUUAAAAUUUAAAAAUAAAUAUAACGAUUAAUAAAUAAAAGCUACCUUAGGGAUAACAGGAUAAUUUUGUUUUAGAGAUCUUAUCGAAAACAAAGUUUGUCACCUCUAUGUUGAAUUAAGAUAUCCUGAUAGUGCAGAAGCUAUCAAAGGUAGGUCUGUUCGACCUUUAAAAUCUUACAU